CCCUUAGAUGUUCUUGGCAGCACGCGCGCUACAAUGGUCUUCGCAAACGGAUGCAUUCUCGAAGGAGAAUGCCAAUCUUGGAAUCUAUGCCUUGGUCGGGACAGUUGCUUGCAAUUUUUCGACUCGAACCAGGAAUUCCUUGUAAUCGUGAUUCAUCACAUCACGAUGAAUACGUCCCUGCCCUUUGUACACACCGCCCGUCGCUCCUACCGAUCGAAGAGUUAGGUGAAUUGUUUUGAUCGAUAAGAUUUGACUAUGGUCAACUCUCGUUGUGAAAUUCUGUGAAUCUGACUGUUUAGAGGAAGGAAAAGUCGUAACA
rnacentral:rRNA from 1 species